AAAGAGAUCUUCUAGCAUGGGCUGCAGACGGGCUGAUAUUGAGCAGUGGGUAUCAUCAGGCACAGAUAGUGGUAAUUCUGCAUAUUUUAUACAUCCUGAGAAUCCUCAGGAUACUUUGAGCUGGAAUCAGCAGAGUUUGCCAUCAGAUCUGUGCUGCUGAGCCAAACAAUAAUGAUGAAAGCUGCGAGGAAAUGCAAUGUUGUCUGGCAGUAUUGCACUACCUGCAGCCCUGCUUUGAAAUGAGAUGUCACAAUUCAAGGAAAAACAGGAGAUGGGUGAUCAGCAACAGAUCAUCAAAGGAAGUAGAGAUACAGGAUUAAGAGGCAGUCCCAGGGCAUGGAAACCAGCCAACACAGCUGGAACAGCUGGGGUGCCUCAGCAGUGCACACAGGACGAGCCUCUCCCAACCAACUUCUAGCCCAGAUUUUAUGGAAAAUAAAAGAAACU